rnacentral:rRNA from 1 species
UACGAAGGGUGCAAGCGUUAAUCGGAAUUACUGGGCGUAAAGCGCGCGUAGGUGGUUUGGUAAGUUGGAUGUGAAAGCCCCGGGCUCAACCUGGGAACUGCAUCCAAAACUGCCUGACUAGAGUACGGUAGAGGGUGGUGGAAUUUCCUGUGUAGCGGUGAAAUGCGUAGAUAUUGGGAGGAACACCAGUGGCGAAGGCGGCUCACUGGACUGGUACUGACGCUGAUGCGCGAAAGCGUGGGGAGCAAACAGG